GAUGAACGCUGGCGGCGUGCCUAAUACAUGCAAGUCGAACGAACAGACGAUGCUCUUGCGGCGCUCACGUUAGCCGCGCGCGGGUGAAUAACACGUGUAUAAUGCACCUAUAAUACUGGUAUCACUUCGGGAAACCGGAGCAUAUACGGUAGGAGAUAUUGAACCGCGGGGUGGGAUAGUGAGAGACGGUGGUUCGGGCACUUCUCGAGGGAUCUGCGCCGGAUUGGGUGGUUGGUAAGGUAACGGCUUACGAAGGGAACGAUGCGUGGCCGAACUGAGGGGGUGAUAGGCCACACUGGAACUGAGACACGGUCCAGACUCCUACGGGAGGCAGCAGUAGGGAAUCUUCCGCAAUGGGCGAAAGCUUGACGGAGCAACGCCGCGUGAGUGAUGAAGGUCUUCGGAUCGUAAAACUCUGUUAUUAGGGAAGAACAAAUGUGUAAGUAACUAUGCACGUCUUGACGGUACCUAAUCAGAAAGCAACGGCUAACUACGUG
rnacentral:rRNA from 1 species